UCCAGGGUAGCCUAGUGGACAUGGCAUCUGCCCGGUAAGCGGAACGUUGUGGGUUCGUUUCCCGCCCCUGGAC
rnacentral:tRNA from 1 species